AAUAUUGCACAAUGGGCGCAAGCCUGAUGCAGCCAUGCCGCGUGUGUGAAGAAGGCCUUCGGGUUGUAAAGCACUUUCAGUCGUGAGGAAGGUAGUGUAGUUAAUAGCUGCAUUAUUUGACGUUUAGCGACAGAAGAAGCACCGGCUAACUCCGUGCCAGCAGCCGCGGUAAUACGGAGGGUGCGAGCGUUAAUCGGAAUUACUGGGCGUAAAGCGCAUGCAGGUGGUUUGUUAAGUCAGAUGUGAAAGCCCGGGGCUCAACCUCGGAAUAGCAUUUGAAACUGGCAGACUAGAGUACUGUAGAGGGGGUAGAAUUUCAGGUGUAGCGGUGAAAUGCGUAGAGAUCUGAAGGAAUACCGGUGGCGAAGGCGGCCCCCUGGACAGAUACUGACACUCAGAUGCGAAAGCGUGGGGAGCAAACAGGAUUAGAUACCCUGGUAG
rnacentral:rRNA from 1 species